UGCCUGAAGUCCGUCACCGCGAGGAACGGCCUAGGGCAAAACUGAUGACUGGGGCUAAGUCGUAACAAGGUAGCCGUACCGGAAGGUGCGGCUGGAACACCUCCUUUUUGGAGUUUA
rnacentral:rRNA from 1 species